rnacentral:misc_RNA from 1 species
UAUUCUUCAAGAUCAAAAUGAAAUGUAGUUAAAAAUUUUAAUUUAAUAGUACCUUAUAUUUAAAUUGAAUUUCAUUAACUCAUUAAGAAUAACUAUGUUGCAUUUAUUUUUAACUUAUUUAAAAUAGGAUUUAAAAAAAUGCAAAUGCAAAAGAGCACUAAAAAAACUCUAAAAUAGAUUUGAACACGUUAACCAUUAGCCCAUUUUAAGCACCAUCCACUAGCCACAUUGGAGUUACACAAUCAAUACACAAACAUAGCCACAUUUAUCAUUGAGAGCAAAAGCAGCCAGAGCUAGCCAAAUAUGUCUAUUUACGUCUUCUUUUCUUCCUCUUCUUCCCUUUUUUUUUAAGUGAUUAUCUUUGAUGGGUAGGUUGCUGCUGCUGCUGCUGUUUCUUUUCUGCCUCUUUUUUGUUUUUCUUUUUGGUCUUUUCCUUCCCCCACCUCACCCAGGCGCAUGUUGCGCCUCGCUACGUCUUGGUGAGGUUGGCCGUCUUUUGGUGCCUAAGGCGAUCUCCUUUGAGCCCGCUGCGCCUUGCACCUUAGGCGCGCCUAUGACAACUAUGGCACUGCCUUGUACAAAAUAAAAUCAAAAUCAAAAUCUGGUUCCAAAAUCUAGAUUCCAAACACUCCACAAUGUCGCUGGAAAAAAAAAAAAAAAAGACUCUUAGUUUUUCUACCAACAAAUUCUCUUUAUCUUAACCUAGAAAAUGUCUUAUAAGUACCUAGACAUACUCAAUUCUCAUCAAAAAGUCUAAAAUGGCAAUUCCUAAUAGCUUAAGCGAUCUUAUAAUGCAAACAAAUGAGAAUAAUACCCAUUAUACUUAUAAUGAAUUACAUAUCUCUGAAGAUAAAGCAUUAUUAAAUCAAAAUUUCUACCAACCAUUAAUAUCCACCUUUUAGAAAAUUGCAUACCCAAGCUUUUCAAAUUUUAUUGAGAAAAAUGAUCAGUCAUGGGAUGGGCAAAUCAAAAAUAAAUGGCUUAAUGCUCAAUAUUGCCCCCAUACUUAUUGGGCAAUGUCCAAUUUAACCUACUUUCAAGUUUUCGGCUAAAUUUUCACACAAGUUUCAUUUUAAGCUUAUAUAGGGCCACUUUCUAACAGGCCUGAAAAGUAUGAAUCCCACAAGUAAGCAGAGCACGUGAGCUAAUUUUAAUAAAUAAAAAAUUGUUGAUAUAAUUUAACAAUAUAAAAAAAAUUAAAAAAAAGAAACUCCACACAUAGAGCACUUUCUCCAUUUCAAUGCCAUCUCCUCUACUUCACAAAACUAGUUGCCAAACUAAAACAAAUCCAAUUAUUAUAACUACAGGAACUUAAUAAAAAGGAGAAAAAAAAACCACUAAUCUCAUAGGAAGAAUUUGCAUUCAUUUUUACGGGUGAUGCUCGCUAUUCUACAAUAGCAACAAGUCUAGACAUGAGACAUGCUUGGUUGUGUCGCAGGGAAGCCAUUUUGAGAAUUUUAAGCUCGGGUUUGAUCUUGAUCUGCUAGAUUCUUCUCCUUCGAGUGGAACUGAGCUCCACUAGAUUCCUCCUUUUGUAGCCAAAUUCAUUUAAUCUCUAGUAGCCUCUUCUCCUUAAAUAGCCUCUGAGCUUAGUGUACGAGUUGACAAAAACACCUUCCCUAAUUUUGGAUACAAAGGAAGAAAGUAACAGAGGUAGGUGGAUGAGAAUUGAUAAAUUUGAUAUUUAUAAGAGCAAUAUGGAUCUGGAGAUGCAUAUACUAUAAUGGAGGGGCUAGGGUUUUCCCUUUAAUUUUUUACUCUUUCUACUUUUUUAUUAGUUUCCAUAAGCUCACCAUUUUCACAAACAUUUGCCGGAUUUAUUUGAGCUUAGAACAAAAAUUUGUGUGCAAAUUUUCCAAAAACUUAAAAAUAGGUUAAAUUGGACAUUUGCAAUAAUUACAAGAGCAAAAUUGAGCAUUAAACCAAACACAGAAACACAUGCCUUUCUAAGAAAAAUUACUAGAAAAAUAACAAAACCAAAUCCUCCUUUCCACCCAAGAAACAAUUAAAAAGAAUUCAACAAAGAAAGCGACAAGGAGAAUUGUCAUUUCCUAGUC